UACGUAGGGGGCAAGCGUUGUCCGGAUUUAUUGGGCGUAAAGAGCGUGUAGGCGGCUUGGCAAGUCCGCUGUGAAAACUCGAGGCUCAACCUCGAGACGUCGGUGGAAACUGCCUCGCUAGAGCCGGAAGAGGAGAGUGGAAUUCCUGGUGUAGCGGUGAAAUGCGCAGAUAUCGUGAGGAAGACCGUGGCGUAAGCGAUCUCUGGACAGUUCCUGACGCUGAGGCACGAAGGCCAGGGGAGCAAACGGG
rnacentral:rRNA from 1 species